UACGUAGGGUCCGAGCGUUGUCCGGAAUUAUUGAGCGUAAAGGGCUCGUAGGCGGUUUGUCACGUCGGGAGUGAAAUCUUACAGCUUAACUGUGAACUUGCUUUCGAUACGGGCAGACUUGAGGCAUUCAGGGGAGAACGGAAUUCCUGGUGUAGCGGUGAAAUGCGCAGAUAUCAGGAGGAACACCGGUGGCGAAGGCGGUUCUCUGGGAAUGUACUGACGCUGAGGAGCGAAAGUGUGGGGAGCGAACAGG
rnacentral:rRNA from 1 species